ACACAUGCAAGUCGAACGGUAACAGGUCUUCGGAUGCUGACGAGUGGGGAACGGGUGAGUAAUACAUCGGAACGUGCCUAGUAGUGGGGGAUAACUACUCGAAAGAGUAGCUAAUACCGCAUGAGAUCUACGGAUGAAAGCAGGGGACCUUCGGGCCUUGUGCUACUAUAGCGGCUGAUGGGAGAUUAUGUAGUUGGUGGGGUAAAGGCUUACCAAGCCUGCGAUCUGUAGCUGGUCUGAGAGGACGACCAGCCACACUGGGACUGAGACACGGCCCANACUCCUACGGGAGGCAGCAGUGGGGAAUUUUGGACAAUGGGCGAAAGCCUGAUCCACCAAUGCCGCGUGCGGGAUGAAGGCCCUCGGGUUGUAAACUGCUUUUGUACGGAACGAAAAGCCUGGGGNUAAUAUCCCCGGGUCAUGACGGUACCGUAAGAAUAAACACCGGCUAACUACGUGCCACCAGCCGCGGUAAUANANAAA
rnacentral:rRNA from 1 species